UACAGAGGUCUCAAGCGUUGUUCGGAUUCAUUGGGCGUAAAGGGUGCGUAGGUGGCGUGGUAAGUCUGGUGUGAAAUCCCGGGGCUCAACCCCGGAACUGCACUGGAUACUGCCAUGCUUGAGUACUGGAGAGGAGAUUGGAAUUUACGGUGUAGCAGUGAAAUGCGUAGAUAUCGUAAGGAAGACCAGUGGCGAAGGCGAAUCUCUGGACAGUUACUGACACUGAGCACGAAGGCCAGGGGAGCAAACGGG
rnacentral:rRNA from 1 species